UCGUCGUCGAAGGUGGCGUCUGGCUCCUGGGCUCCAACAUCUGGUUGCGACAACCAGGUAGAAGGGAUAGGGGGAAAAGAGGGAGAAAGCAACCGUGAGUACUCAUCCAAAGUACUCGCAAGCAAGGAGCUACAUUACAUAUGUAUGCAUUGGUAUCAAUUGGAAUAAGGCUAUCAUAUGUGGACUGAACUGCAGAAUGUCGGAAUAAGAGGGGGAUAGCUAGUCCUUUCGAAGACUACGCUUCUGGCAGCCUCCGUCUUGCAGCAUGUAGAAGAGAGUAGACUGAAGACCUCCAAGUAGCAUCGUAUAGCAUAAUCCUAACCGAUGAUCCUCCCCUCGUCGCCCUGUGAGAGAGCGAUCACCGGUUGUAUCUGGCACUUGGAAGGGUGUGUUUUAUUAAGUAUCUGGUUCUAGUUGUCAUAAGGUUAAGGUACAACUCCAAGUCGUCCUGUUACCGAAGAUCACGGCUAUUCGAAUAGAUUAACUUCCCUGCAGGGGUGCACCACAUAACCCAACACGCUCGAUCCCAUUUGGCCGGACACACUUUCCUGGGUCAUGCCCGACCUCGAAAGAUCAACACGUUGCAGCCCUACCUAGGCACAACAGAGAGGUCAGCACGCCGGUCUAAAUCCUAUGGUACAGGGGUCUGGGCCCAUCGCCCUUUGCACACCUGCACGUUGCGAACGCGGCCGGAAGCAGAACUAGCCCCCUUAAUACAAGAGCAGGCUUACGGUCCAAUCCGGCGCGCGCCGCUCAGUCACUGACGUCACGAAGGCUUCAGCUGAUACCACGACGUCGAGUGCCCAUAACUGUCCCCGCGUAGAUGGUUAGUGCGUAUAGGCCAGUAGCCAGACUCAGAUCAAAUACCAAGAUCUCGUUAAACGUGUUAAGUAUCCGCGAACACCGACCAGGGCCAGGCCCACCUCUCUCCUAGGUGGUCUCAGCCCGCCCUAUCGCUCCGCCACAAAGUAACAGUCGGGGGCCGUCGGGAACCCAGGCCCACCUCUACCGGGAUGGAGCCACCUGCCCCUUCAGCCCCCAACUCCGAACAGUACCACAGGUAAUGUAACUGUGUAAAGUAUUUAGUAUAUGCCCUUGAUCACCUCCCGAAGUGAUCACGGCCCAGUAGUAUAGCAUGGCAGACGGACAAGAGUGUAGGGCCACUAACGGAACACUAGCAUCCUAUACUAAGCAGUAGGAUAGCAGGUAAAGGUAACAACAGUAGUAGCAAGGGCAGGCUAUGCAGCAGUAUAGGAUUAACUGAAAGCAGUAACAUGCUACACUACUCUAAUGCAAGCAGUAUAGAGAAGAAUAGGUGAUAUCUGGUGAUCAAGGGGGGGCUUGCCUGGUUGCUUUGGCAAGAAGGGGUCGUCGUCGAUGUAGUCGAUCACAGGGGUAUCGACAACGGCCUUGGAGCUUACCAGAAAGAAGUAACGGAGGGGGAACACAAUAAAUACCAGAGCAAUCAAAUGCAACACAAAGAAAGACGCGGCAAUACGUUGUGCUAGGAGUGACCAAACGCAGGGACAGGUGAUACCGGCGAACGGGGAAAACAUCCGGGAAAGUAUUCCCGAUGUUCCACGUUUCCGGACAGACGGACCAGUGGGGGAAAGUUGCGUGUUUGCUAUACUAGGGAUGUGUGACCGACGAACGGGUUGUGUAUUCAGAUUCGUCUCGUUGUUCUGAGCAACUUUCAUGUACAAAAUAUUUCCAUCCGAGAUACGGUUUAUUUUAUAUGAUUUUUCAAAGUUUAUAGUAUUUUUUUAUGAUUUUCUGGAAUAUUUUUAUUUAAUCUAAUCCGAAUUUGACCAAGUCAAUUUGACUAGUCAAAAGGGAGGAUGUGGCCCACAUGUCAUUGACACAUAAUUUAAUUGACGGAUAAACUAAAAUGGAGGGGUUAAAUUAACACAGGGGGCCACAUGUCAUAGGCUAGCAAUUAUCCAAAGUACUAAUUAGUCUAACUACUCAUUAGCUACUAACCUAAAUAGGGCCGGUCACAUCCAGAGACGCAGCCGGCCACACACACGCUGCACACACACACACACACACACACACACACACAUCACACAAGCACACAGGGCCGGCCAGAGGCACACAGCCGGCCACACACGGCGCACACACAUAAUGCUAGGGAGUAACUCUAUUCCUUUUAACACAAGAUAGCAUUUUGUGAUUUUUGUAGGAUUUAUCCAUGCAUCAAAAGUAUUUGGUCCAGUGAGAUAAAAUGGAGUUUGUCAUGUAUACUUUCUACUUAUAUUAUUUUCACUCAUGUUUACAACUGUUUAACCACAGUUUAGGGGCUGCCCAGGGGGUUACUCGAUGUAAUAUUCGCAAAGCUAGCUAGCAGCUACAGUAGCUAUCAUCAGUUAGCAGUAGACAAGUAGCAAGCGGCAGCAGCAUUGGGCAACCAGAAGCAGUAGUCGCCGGUAGUAUCAGGCACGCACAACGGCGCGUGCGCAAGCGCAAGGCACGGCCAGCACGGGGAGCAGCGAGCAGCGCCGGGCGGCAAGCAAGGCAGCAACGCAGCGGCCUGAACAACAACAACUAGCAGCCAUACGCAGCGCCAGCAGCAGAACGCAGCAGCCGCGGCGACAGAGCAAAGUAGCAGCAGCAGAAGACGCGACGCGCGGCAAAGUAGGAUGCAGCUCGGGCGUAGGCGCGGGCGUGGGCGCGAGCAUGUGCGGGUGAGCGCGUGUAGGGCGGCCAAGGUCGCGGCCGGACGCGGCCAGAGGCGAGGGAGCGCGAGGCUGAGCGGUGGCGCCGGCUCGGACUCGACGGGGUCGAAGCCACGGGUGCACACACGACGAGCAUGAGGCUAGGGGAGCACCUACACGAUCCAGCGAAGAUGAUGGGCACACGCGUGUGACCAAUAGGCCACUGGAGUGACGCCGGCGACCAGCCGUGGGGCCUCAAGCUUCGGCCAUGACGGUCCUAUGGCCUAGAGGUCGAGCUCGUGCAAGAGAGGUGAGGGGGAAGGAAGAGGAGCUCACAAUGAGCCUGUAGGUGUGCAUAGCGGGCUCGGGGGAGGCUCGGAGGCGACGAAUCCCGGCAAUGGCGUUGGCGGUGCAGAGAAGGGGAACGACUCGAUCCGGUCGAAGCAGAGGCACUCGGCUCGCAUUCUUCAGCGUAGAGGAAGAAGCGGAGGCGGGAGGAGCUCCUGGCGCAGUCCUAGGCGAAGGGAAGGGCAGUGGCCACGGGAUCGAAGAG
rnacentral:lncRNA from 1 species